rnacentral:rRNA from 1 species
CCUACGGGGGGCAGCAGUGGGGAAUAUUGCGCAAUGGGCGAAAGCCUGACGCAGCGACGCCGCGUGGGUGAUGAAGGCCUUCGGGUUGUAAAGCCCUGUCGGGUGGAACGAACGAUCUGGCGGCGAAUAACCGCCGGGUGUGACGGUACCACCGAAGGAAGCCCCGGCUAACUACGUGCCAGCAGCCGCGGUAAGACGUAGGGGGCGAGCGUUGUUCGGAUUUACUGGGCGUAAAGCGCGCGUAGGCGGCUGAAAUCCGUCGGCUUAACCGAGGGCCGGCAGCCGAUACUGUCUGGCUGGAGUCUAGGAGAGGAAAGCGGAAUUCCCAGUGUAGCGGGGAAAUGCGUAGAUAUUGGGAGGAAAACCGGUGGCGAAGGCGGCUUUCCGGACUAGUACUGACGCUGAGGCGCGAAAGCUAGGGGAGCGAACGGGAUUAGAUACCCUGGUAGU